GCCUGGGUGGCUCUGUUGCUUAAGCAUCUGACUUCGGCUCAGGUCAUGAUCUUGCAGUUUGUGGGUUCAAGCCCCAUAUCAGGCU
rnacentral:tRNA from 1 species